GGUUAAUAUUCCUGUACUUGGUGUUACUGCGAAGGGGGGACGGAGAAGGCUAGGCUAUCCGGGCGACGGUUGUCCCGGUUCAAGCGUGUAGGUGUGGUGACCUGGCAAAUCCGGUUACCUUUAACACUGAGGCGUGAUGACGAAGCUCUACGGAGCUGAAGUAGUUGAUGCCCUGCUUCCAGGAAAAGCCUCUAAGCUCCAGGUAACACGAAAUCGUACCCCAAACCGACACAGGUGGUCAGGUAGAGAAUACUCAGGCGCUUGAGAGAACUCGGGUGAAGGAACUAGGCAAAAUGGUGCCGUAACUUCGGGAGAAGGCACGCCGGCAAUAGGUGAAGUGACUUGCUCAUGGAGCCGAAGCCGGUCGAAGAUACCAGCUGGCUGCAACUGUUUAAUAAAAACACAGCACUGUGCAAACACGAAAGUGGACGUAUACGGUGUGACGCCUGCCCGGUGCUGGAAGGUUAAUUGAUGGGGUUAUCCGUAAGGAGAAGCUCUUGAUCGAAGCCCCAGUAAACGGCGGCCGUAACUAUAACGGUCCUAAGGUAGCGAAAUUCCUUGUCGGGUAAGUUCCGACCUGCACGAAUGGCGUAAUGAUGGCCAGGCUGUCUCCACCCGAGACUCAGUGAAAUUGAACUCGCUGUGAAGAUGCAGUGUACCCGCGGCAAGACGGAAAGACCCCGUGAACCUUUACUAUAGCUUGACACUGAACAUUGAGCCUUGAUGUGUAGGAUAGGUGGGAGGCUUUGAAGCGUGGACGCCAGUCUGCGUGGAGCCGACCUUGAAAUACCACCCUUUAAUGUUUGAUGUUCUAACGUAGACCCGU
rnacentral:rRNA from 1 species